CUAACCUCGACCUCCAUGUAAAUAGAGUCCAAAGGGUCACCUUUAAACAGCAGGAAGAAAUAUGUCCUGUGGAUCAACGAAAUAUGGCAAGUCUGCCAAAGUUCAAUAAUCCUUUUUCGCAGCUUCCCAAAUUCAAGAGGCCAAUCUGAAGGAACUUCCAAUGAGUCUGGCAUAGGAUCCAAUCCAACAUUUUUUAUGUUCCUUUUCGACUUCCCAGAAUCUUGAGCCUAGCACAGAUAUCAUGCAGCUUCCCAAAUUCAAGAGGCCAGUCUGAAGGAACUCCCAAUGAGUCUGGCGUAGGAUCCAAUCCGACAUUUUUUAUAUUCUUUUUCAACUUCACAGAAUCUUGAACCUAGCACAGAUAUCAGGAUGCAUCUAAUUAGGACAAAGUUCAGGAUAAAAACCAGCUUUUCCAAGUGAUUGCUCCGGUCUAUGAUGUUGUUUAUUGACAUUGAAUUUCUCUAGUAAAGAUAUUUAAAGAGAGCGAGAACAUUCUGACAUCAGUUAAUAAGUAAAAGGCUUGGCAGACGCAUCAAUCCAAAAAUUCUAUCAAUUGCUAAAAUAAAGUUGCCACAGAGUAGAAGAAAACUAACAAGAGAGUCUAAUUUAGGAUCUCUGCAUGCACUGAUCUAGCUGAAUUAACUAUUUUCUGCCACUGCCGGCAAUAACCAAAAACAUGGAAGAGAAGAAAGUGGCUAUGCAAGCAUUAUCUGCCAUUAAAUUGACCACAGCGAAAUGACACGCACAAGUUAAAUUCUGCAUAUCUAACUGUAAAUCCAUGCAAACAAAACUUACCGGAAGAAAACAAACAAGGUAACCCAAACAAGCUUAAGUAGGAAUGAAUAUAGUCC
rnacentral:lncRNA from 1 species